UACGUAGGGUGCGAGCGUUGUCCGGAAUUACUGGGCGUAAAGGGCGCGCAGGCUGUUAUGCGAGUCUGCUGUGAAAUGUACCGGCUCAACCGGUGCCUUGCGGCGGAUACUGCAUAGCUGGAGUACUGGAGAGGGAAGUGGAAUUCCAGGUGUAGCGGUGGAAUGCGCAGAUAUCUGGAGGAACACCAGUGGCGAAGGCGGCCUCCUGGACCAUUCCUGACACUCAGACGCGAAAGCUAGGGUAGCAAACGGGA
rnacentral:rRNA from 1 species